rnacentral:siRNA from 1 species
UAGACACCCAAAAAAGCAAAUGUC